rnacentral:rRNA from 1 species
UAAUACCAGCGCCACAAGUGGGAAUCGUGAUUAUUGGGCCUAAAGCGUCCGUAGCUUGUCUUAUAAAUCUCUUGUGAAAUCGUAGAGCUUAACUUUACGGCGAGCAGGAGAUACUAUUUGACUUGGAACCGGGAGGGGUUAGAGGAAUUCUGGGGGGAGCGGUAAAAUGCUAUAAUCCCCGGAAGACCACCUGUCGCGAAGGCGUCUGACUAGAACGGAUUCGACAGUGAGGGACGAAAGCCAGGGGAGCGAACCGGAUUAGAUACCCGAGUAGUCCUGGCCGUAAACGCUGCGAGCUAGGUGUUGCAUAUUCUUCGGGAAUAUGCAGUAUCGAAGCGAAGGCGAUAAGCUCGCCGCCUGGGAAGUAUAGUCGCAAGGCCG